rnacentral:rRNA from 1 species
GCACAAGCGGUGGAGCAUGUGGAUUAAUUCGUCACUAACCGAAGAACCUUACCCAGGUUUGACAUCGAGGGUAAGACCCUGAAAGGGGUCCCCCGGGGCAACCCGGCCCAAAGACAGGUGUUGCAUGGCUGUCGUCAGCUCGUGUCGUGAGAUGUUGGGUUAAGUCCCGCAACGAGCGCAACCCUCACCUGAUGUUGGCAGCGUAAAGUCGGCCACUCUUCAGGAACUGCCCGUGCGAGCGGGAGGAAGGUGGGGACGACGUCAAGUCGGCAUGGCCCUUACGCCUGGGGCUUCACACAUGCUACAAUGGGUGGCACAGAGGGCAGCGAUCCCGCGAGGGGGAGCGAAUCCCAAAAAUCCAUCCUCAGUUCGGAUCGCAGGCUGCAACUCGCCUGCGUGAAGCCGGAAUCGCUAGUAACCGCAGGUCAGCUAAACUGCGGUGAAUACGUUCCCGGGC